GUGGCGCGGGUGUAGAUGCCUGCUGUGUGAAAUCGAAAGUGUCUGGAUACUACUCUCCUGGCACAUUCCAGCAAUACGUUACGUCGCCAGCAAGCUAUGUGACUCCGAUUCCAGACUCACUUCCCUCCGACCUGGCUGCCCCUUUACUCUGCGCCGGGGUGACCGUUUAUUCAGCCCUUAAGCGCAGUCAAGCCAGGCCGGGAGAUUGGGUCAUUAUUUCAGGUGCCGGAGGUGGCCUAGGCCAUAUUGCAACCCAGCUAGGCAGCAGGGGCCUAGGACACCGUAUUAUCGGUAUCGACCACGGCAGCAAGAGAGAUAUCGUCCUUGAAUCUGGCGCGGAACACUUUAUCGACAUCACGCAGUUCACGGACAACGAGCCCAAAGGCGGCAAGUUGGCGGAACACGUCCAGUCCCUGACCGGUGGCCUUGGCGCCCAUGCCGUUAUUGUCUGUACAUCCUCGAACGCUGCGUAUGCGCAGGGGAUGUAUUUGCUCCGCAUGAACGGUGUGCUAGUCUGUGUUGGAAUACCAGAGAACGUGCCCCUCCCGAUUGGGUCGUCGUUCCCUGCGCACCUUAUCGGGAAACAGCUUUCCAUCGUAGGGUCUGCAGUGGGAACUAAGCGGGAGUCAAUUGAGACUAUGGAAUUCGGGGCGCGGGGG
rnacentral:sRNA from 1 species